rnacentral:rRNA from 1 species
UCCUACGGGCGGCUGCAGUGGGGAAUAUUGGACAAUGGGCGCAAGCCUGAUCCAGCAAUGCCGCGUGGGUGAAGAAGGUCUUCGGAUCGUAAAGCCCUUUCGACAGGGACGAUGAUGACGGUACCUGUAGAAGAAGCCCCGGCUAACUUCGUGCCAGCAGCCGCGGUAAUACGAAGGGGGCUAGCGUUACUCGGAAUUACUGGGCGUAAAGGGCGCGUAGGCGGCUCUGUGAGUCAGGCGUGAAAUUCCUGGGCUUAACCUGGGGACGGCGCUUGAUACUGCGGAGCUUGAGGCCGAGAGAGGGUGGUGGAAUUCCCAGUGUAGAGGUGAAAUUCGUAGAUAUUGGGAAGAACACCGGUGGCGAAGGCGACCACCUGGCUCGGUACUGACGCUGAGGCGCGACAGCGUGGGGAGCAAACAGGAUUAGAUACCCCUGUAGUCCCU